rnacentral:misc_RNA from 1 species
AGUGAAUUCAAUUUAUAUAUAGCUCCACGUCACUUAAUGAUUUACAGGCGAAUGCGGAACUUGGACUUGGACUUGGCAUGGGAAGCUAGUUAGCGGUUUAAGAAAUUGCAUUUUGUCAUUUGCGAGAUUUUUUGGUUGAAAGAAGCAGGAACAGACACGUGACAUCGAAUAAGUUUCUUUGUACAACUGCAGACGAGUGGGAUAUUGUU